rnacentral:rRNA from 2 species
CCUGUAAAUGUAAAAAUUAUCAACGUAGCAGUAUCCUGAGUAGGUGGGGACAGGAGGAAUCCCCUCUGAAUUCGGCGGCACCAUCCGCCAAGGCUAAAUACGACUGAGAGACCGAUAGUGAACGAGUACCGUGAGGGAAAGGUGAAAAGUACCGGGAGUACCGGGGUGAAAUAGAACCUGAAACCAUGCGCUUACAAGCGGGCGGAGCCCUAUGGGGUGACGCCGUGCCUUUUGCAUAAUGAGCCUACGAGUUGUUGUUGCUGGCAAGGUUAAGCAUUUAAGAUGCGCAGCCGAAGCGAAAGCGAGUCUGAACAGGGCGCUUAGUCAGUAAUAGCAGACGCGAAACUUGGUGAUCUACCCGUGGUCAGGUUGAAGUGUGGGUAACACUACAUGGAGGACCGAACCAGUAAACGUUGAAAAGUUUUUGGAUGAACUGCGGGUAGGGGUGAAAGGCCAAUCAAACUGAGAAAUAGCUCGUACUCCCCGAAAUGUUUUUAGGAACAGCGUUGUGGCGAGUCAGUGUCAGGUAGAGCUACCGAUAGGAUGCGGGGGAGUCAAAUCCUACCAAAUUCUGACGAACUCCGAAUGGGCACUGAUAUACACAGCAGUGAGGGCCGGGGUGCUAAGGUCACGGUCCGAGAGGGGAACAACCCAGAGCAACCGCUAAGGUCCCAAAGUAUAUACUAAGUUGAACAAAGGAAGUCCGACUGCCGAGACAGCCAGGAUGUUAGCUUGGAAGCAGCUAUACAUUUAAAGAGUGCGUAACAGCUCACUGGUCGAGCGGGGCGGGCGUCGAUAAUAAACGGGCAUCAAGUAUAUCACCGAAGCGAUGCGAUAGUAAUAUCGGUAGGGGAGCAUUCCAACAUCAGCGAAGCUGUAGCGUGAGCUAUGGUGGAGAGGUUGGAAAAGCAAAUGUAGGCAUAAGUAACGAUAAUGUAUGUGAGAACCAUACACACCGUAAAGCUAAGGAUUCCUCAGCUAUGUCAAUCAACUGAGGGUUAGUCGGGGCCUAAGGGGAAGGCGAAGGCCGCACCUGACGGACAGCAGGUUAAUAUUCCUGCACCUGAUGCAAGUGUGAAGCGCACGGGGUAGAGGAGGAUGUACGAAGUGACGGAAGUCUUCGUUGAGCAGAGUCUACGGACGAAGCGAACAUCUGAACUGGCCUCCAAGAAAAACCGCUGAAAC